rnacentral:rRNA from 1 species
UACGAGGGGGGCAAGCGUUGUUCGGAAUUAUUGGGCGUAAAGGGUGCGUAGGCGGUUUUGUAAGUCUUGUGUGAAAUCUUCAGGCUCAACUUGAAGACUGCACGAGAAACUGCAGGGCUUGAGUGUGGGAGAGGGAUGCGGAAUUCCAGGUGUAGCGGUGAAAUGCGUAGAUAUCUGGAGGAACACCGGUGGCGAAGGCGGCAUCCUGGACCAACACUGACGCUGAGGAGCGAAAGCCAGGGGAGCAAACGGG